rnacentral:rRNA from 1 species
AACGAACGCUGGCGGCAGGCUUAACACAUGCAAGUCGAGCGCCCCGCAAGGGGAGCGGCAGACGGGUGAGUAACGCGUGGGAAACUACCCUUUGGUACGGAAUAACACAGAGAAAUUUGUGUUAAUACCGUAUGUGCCCUUCGGGGAAAGGAUUAUCGCCAUAGGAUGUGCCCGCGUAGGAUUAGCUAGUUGGUGUGGUAAUGGCGCACCAAGGUGACGAUCCUUAGCUGGUCUGAGAGGAUGAUCAGCCACACUGGGACUGAGACACGGCCCAGACUCCUACGGGAGGCAGCAGUGGGGAAUAUUGGACAAUGGGCGCAAGCCUGAUCCAGCCAUGCCGCGUGAGUGAUGAAGGCCUUAGGGUUGUAAAGACUCUUUCUACCCACGACGAUAAUGACGGUAGUGGGAGAAGAAGUUUACGGUCUAACUUCGUG